UACGUAGGGGGCGAGCGUUGUCCGGAGUUACUGGGCGUAAAGCGCACGCAGGCGGUCUGCUAAGUUUGGAGUGACAGUUGGUGGCUUAACUGCCAAAGUGCUUCGAAAACUGACAGACUUGAGGGCUUCAGAGGGACACGGAAUUCCGGGUGGAGUGGUGAAAUGCGUAGAGAUCCGGAAGAACACCGAUGGCGUAGGCAGCUUUCUGGGAAGUAACUGACGCUGAUGGACGAAAGCCAGGGGAGCAAACGGG
rnacentral:rRNA from 1 species